rnacentral:lncRNA from 1 species
UGGGAAUGGUGAUGCCAUUUCCCAAGACAGCGUUUCCCAAGAAACUGGGAGAGAGAAGCAGAUGUGGAGGUGAGAGGUCAGAAGACAGAAUGAGUCCCGUUCAGUCCAAGGAGCCUGUGAGACAGUCAGCGAAGAUUCCAAGGAGCAGCCUCACCCCUGGGGAUGUCAGAUCCAUCAGUUCCUGAGUCUCAUGUCUUCAUCUUUCUUCAAUGUGUGGGGAAGCACAUCUUUCAUCGGCUUCCUAAGAAAGUGCAUGGAAGGAUACAAUGAAAAGGACAUUCGUAUACCAACAGAGGAUAUUCAUACAACACAAUAGACGUCUGAGAGACCCCCACAGCCAUACAUCUGAAGGUGGAGGUGCUGGACUCCCUGGAGGAAGUGGGAGUAGAUAAGGGAUCUUCUCUCCCACCCCAACGACAGUGACUGAGGGUGCAGGAACAUGCACAGCUGUGAGAGGAAUGCGGAGAGAGGGUAAGCCAUCCAUGGGAACUCCUUCACUCUCCAAGUUCCCUCACAGCCUGUGAGAAAGCCCCACACAGAGGUGAAAAUGCUAUUGCAGGGA